rnacentral:rRNA from 1 species
UACGUAGGGUGCAAGCGUUGUCCGGAAUUAUUGGGCGUAAAGAGCUCGUAGGCGGUCUGUCGCGUCGGAUGUGAAAACUCGGGGCUCAACCCCGAGCCUGCAUUCGAUACGGGCAGACUAGAGUUCGGUAGGGGAGACUGGAAUUCCUGGUGUAGCGGUGAAAUGCGCAGAUAUCAGGAGGAACACCGGUGGCGAAGGCGGCGUGCUGGACCUUUUCUGACGCUGAGGCGCGAAAGCUAGGGGAGCAAACGGG